rnacentral:rRNA from 1 species
GAUGAACGCUGGCGGCGUGCCUAAUACAUGCAAGUCGAGCGAACAGACGAGUAGCUUGCUCCUCUGAUGUUAGCGGCGGACGGGUGAGUAACACGUGUAUAACCUACCUAUAAGACUGGGAUAACUGCGGGAAACCGGAGCUAAUACCGGAUAACAUUGUGAACCGCAUGGUUCAACAGUGAAAGACGGUCUUGCUGUCACUUAUAGAUUGAUCCGCGCCGCAUUAGCUAGUUGGUAAGGUAACGGCUUACCAAGGCAACGAUGCGUAGCCGACCUGAGAGGGGGAUCGGCGGCACUGGAAGGGAGACACGGUCCAGACUCCUACGGGAGGCCGCAGUAGGGAAUGUGAGGCAACAGGCGAAAGCAUGACGGAGCGACGGCGCGUGAGAUACAAAGGUCUUGGGAUCGUAAAGCUCUGUUAUUAGUGAAGAACAAAUGUGUAAGUAACUAUGCACGUAUUGACGGUACCUAAUCAGAAAGCAACGGCUAACUACGUG